rnacentral:rRNA from 1 species
GCUAAACGCGAAGAACCUUACCAAGGUUUGACAUCCUACUAAUCUUUCCGAAAGGAAGGAGUGCCUUCGGGCCGUAGUGACAGGUGAUGCAUGGCCGUCGUCAGCUCGUGUCGUGAGAUGUUUGGUUAAGUCCAUCAACGAGCGCAACCCUUAUAGUUAGUUGGAUUUCUCUAGCUAGACUGCCCCGGUAACGGGGAGGAAGGAGGGGAUGAUGUCAGGUCAGUAUUUCCCUUACACCUUGGGCUACAAACACGCUACAAUGGCCGGUACAAAGGGCAGCCAACCCGCGAGGGGGAGCAAAUCCCAUCAAAGCCGGUCUCAGUUCGGAUAGCAGGCUGAAACUCGCCUGCUUGAAGCUGGAAUCGCUAGUAACGGUAGGUCAGCACACUACCGUGAAUACGUUCCCGGGUCUUGUACACACCG